GGGGAUUUACAGAGGUUUUUGACCAUGUAUGUGGCCUUCGUUGAAAACCAGAAUUGGAAUGAGAUGUAUUUAAAGAAACCCAUCACCAGAAUAUUUAUUAUUACAUUUUGAUCUAAUUUGGAACAUUUUCCCAUAGGCUUGAUAGAAGAAAAAGAGCCAGAAGUCUUUGGAGAACACGAUGGGUAAAGGAAAUAGAUGACCCUCCAUUCAUUCCGUCGGGAAGCGAGAAGGCGUUUGAACACUGGGCCCACAUGCCUGGGUUCAUAUCCCAGCUCGGUCAGGGCUUCCCGAGGAAGAGAAUGAUUUUUAGGUAAACCAACCAAGCCCAAAACCUGAUAACACCGAACGUCACAUGCUGACAGCUCUUUGGAAAACCUUUCCCCUUGGAAUCUACACUUUGACUGAGCUUUCAAACCAGAAGUUCAUCUUACCCAGGAAAGAUCCUGCAGGUUCUCUAGCUGGACGUCACUCUGGAGUCAGAGAAGGGCAGAAUCGGAAGGAUCCGGUGAGAGACGGGGUUCCAGAGACUUCUUGAUAAGGAAGCUGAGACUCCCACCAGCGAGGGGCUGGCUAGCUUUAGAACCAGCACCAGGGCCCAUUUCCUUGUGGUCUUGAUGUGCCACCUUGGUGUGAACAUCACUGGUGGCCAUCCCAGCCUCCGUGUGGACCCACGACUCUCCACCUGUCUGUGCCGAGAGGUGCCAGGAUUUCUGAAACACGAGCUGUGAAACGUGGGUCUCGGCUUCCCCGGGAAAGGGAAACACGCCAU
rnacentral:lncRNA from 1 species